UACGUAGGGGGCUAGCGUUGUCCGGAAUCAUUGGGCGUAAAGCGCGUGUAGGCGGUCCGGUAAGUCCGCUGUGAAAGUCGGGGGCUCAACCCUCGAAUGCCGGUGGAUACUGUCGGGCUAGAGUCCGGAAGAGGAAAGUGGAAUUCCCGGUGUAGCGGUGAAAUGCGCAGAUAUCGGGAAGAACACCCGUGGCUAAGGCGGCUCUCUAGUACGGUACUGACGCUGAGACGCGAAAGCGUGGGGAGCGAACAGG
rnacentral:rRNA from 1 species